AUCCUCAGUACCAAAACAAAACACAAAAACAAAAACAAAAAACAACCAACCAAGGGGAUGGGUGUAUUAACUUGAUUUAUAGAUUUAUUACAGAUUCAUUUGAUGACUGGGUGUCAAGAGCAGAUAAACAUGCCUAUGAAUCCUUGAAAUCCUAUUCAAAAUGCUUGCUUCCUUUUAGCUCACCAAGGAUUCCAUAUGUCAAACGAGGUCAAGAAUCACCACUAGAGAAAAAAUCCAUUAACUUGGCCUUUGGAGAAAUGCGUUUAACCAGAUGGCUACCAAGCCUCCUAAAAUCCAUUGAGCAGCUUGUGGAAGGGUACAGGAUGCCUCAAUACAACUAACCAUUUCACUCUGUCCCCAGACAGUCCUGCUUUCAUUUCAAACCAGUCAGAAGCCUUGGCCAGCUUAACACAAAAAGCAACAAAAGGAACAAUAUCCAAUGAUAACAGGAUGUUUGAGCCUUCACAAGCCUCCAAGGAAAGGAAUAACAACCAAGAAUCUCCAAAAAUGAUUCAGAUUUAUAAAAUGCACUUUACUUUUCUUA